GACGAACGCUGGCGGCGUGCCUAACACAUGCAAGUAGAACGGAAAGGCACUGCUUUUGUGGUGUGCACGAGUGGCGAACGGGUGAGUAACACGUGAGUAACCUGCCCUUGACUUUGGGAUAACUUCAGGAAACUGGGGCUAAUACCGGAUAGGAGCACAUGUUGCAUGGCGGGGGCUGGAAAGUUUCGGCGGCUGGGGUAGGACUCGGGGCUUAUUAGUUUGUUGGUGGGGUUGGGGUAAACCAAGGCUUAGGCGGGUAGACGGCCUGGGAGGGUGACGGGCCACAGUGGGACUGAGGUGCGGCCCAGACUGCUACGGGGGGCAGCGGUGGGGAAUAGUGCGCAAUGGGCGGAGGCCUGAUGCAGCAUCUCCGCGUGCGGGAUGACGGCCUUCGGGUUAUAAACCGCGUUCGCCUGUAACGAAGCGUGUGUGACGGUAAUGGAUAAAAAAGCACCGGCUAACUACGUG
rnacentral:rRNA from 1 species